GGUUCCAUGGCGCAAUGGUAGCGCGUCUGACUCCAGAUCAGACGGUUGGGAGUUCAAGUCUCUCUGGGGCCA
rnacentral:tRNA from 1 species